rnacentral:tRNA from 4 species
GCCGAAGUGGCGGAACUGGCAGACGCACAGGACUUAAAAUCCUGCGGGACUAACCUCCCGUACCGGUUCGAUUCCGGUCUUCGGCACCA